AUUUUUCACAGCAAGACUUAAAGGAACAAAGAAGAAUAGAAAGGAGACAAAGAUCCCGACUGGCCGAGUUGGAAGACAAUCAGAGAGGCGGCAGAGAAGAGAGUCCACCACGGCGGCAGAGGAGGUAGCGGUACCAUAGAACGGCAAAUAAGAUAGUACUCUUAAUACUGUCAUCCAUGACUAGGAGAUGAUGCUUUUGUGUAUAGUAGUGUCUCCCCGACCAAAAGUAAACUGGUCUUAAGGUAGUACCUUAAAAAUUCAUAGACUUGCUAUACAAAAGGAAUUGCAUGAAAUAGCAUGCAUACUAUGCAGCUUCACAACAGCAAUCUUUUAGGAUGACAAAAGGGUGUUAUAUUUUGGUGAUUAUAAUGUUAGUUUUUUACAUCUUUCUUACUGGUCUGAUUAAUGAUAGUUUCAGCCUUUUUUCUUUAUUUCCUGUGAACUCUGAGCAUUUAGCUCAGAAAUAUGAAUGCUGAGAUUCUUUGGGAAAAAUUAGAAAAUACAUUUAUUGUGGAAAUAUUAAAAAAAAAAUCUUGACUUACAUAUUAUUAUUUCUGCAACUUAUUUGUUCUUGUACAGCUUGGGUGUGCAUUAUUGCUUAUCCCCUGCAGAUCUGCUGUUAACUUAAGAAAGUCAAUUUUAUCGACCCAGAUCAUUUGUUUAAAACACGUCCUUUCACUCCCAAAGUUGAUGGGAUACAGGAGGUACUGAUUUAUGUUAUUCAUGCCAUUGAUUUCAAAGGAUGUCAGGUAUAGGAAAUCGGCUUAGCUGAACUUUUGGCAUCCACGGGCUUUGCAAUUUUUGGGGUGAUAUUUUAGGGUAAAAAAGUGUAGAAAAAAUACCUUAUAUUUAAAUUAAAUGAAUUGAUUAUAUCUCUUGCUUUGUGAAUUUAUUAAGUCUCAUUUAUAUCUGUUCAACUUUAUGCUACCUGUGGGGAAUUGUUAUUCACUCUGUAAGAUAUGCAGCUUCUGCAUCAGGUGUGUCUUUAUAAAAAGUGCAUUCUAAGCUUUCAUGAAAGGUGAAUGUAAAUAUCCUGGUUUGUGAAGAGUUUGAUGGCUUUAGAAUGUCACUCUAAUAUGGCACACUCUGGCACUGUUGUCUUUAGAUGGUUUCCAAGAACUUUUCUAUUAGAUGUACAAUAUUAUUUCAAGAAUUUUGAGUUACUUUUUGUUUAUUAUUAUUAUUAAUUAUUACUAUGACCAAUGAUGAUUAUAUAUUAGUCUUUAUAAAAUUAUGGAAUGCUUAUAAAUAUCCUUUUUUUGGUAUGUCAUCAAGGAUCCUUAUAGUGUGUAUUUAUCAUAAGGCAAUGUUUGUGGAUUCCCAGAAUGGUUAAUGGUUAAAACAAAUAAAUGUGCUUGACAUCAAAGGACAUAUAGCAUUAUGAAGAAGUAGAGUAAAAAUGAGUUAACACUUAGCAUGACUGAACAGAAGGGGAUGAAGAAGAGAAGGAAAAUGAAAGGGGGGGGGGGGAAUCCAUACAAAAUUCAUUGAGGCAAGGACUGGGGCCAUGGCAGGGGCCUCUCAGUUCCCCACCUCCUAAGCCCCUCAUGACAAGCAAGGUAUUGGAGGUGUAUAAAAUAUAAAGCAUAUAGAAAUAAUUGAGCCUAUCAAACACUACCAUUUGUCUAAGAAGGCUUGUAGACAUUUUUCUUUCUUUAUUAUUAUUUGUUUAAAAAGGGAGUAAAUAAAAAUCAGAAUUCUGUUAUACUUUAAAUAAUUAAAUGGUACAUAUACAAUACUGUACAAUAAAUUGGGAAUAAAAUUCUACUAGUAUGUGUUUCCUUUGUCAAUUUUUCCAUUCAAAAACUAUACACGUCUUAGAAAUUUGACUUACUAAAAAGUAAAAACUAUACAUUGGUCCCUCAAAUUCAGUAAUGAAAAUAUUUUUCUUAAUAAUAUGGCGCCAAUUUUUUUUUUUUUUUUUUUUUUUGCCAAUCGUCACAUCUUUUGCACCAAGAUAAAAUUGGAUAUAAAACUAAUCUGGAAAAUCUGUUAUUCAAAAAAUCCUUACAUUAGGAUUAACAUUCAUUCUACCUACAGAUUUACAUUUGCCACUGCAAAAAUGCAUACUGAUGAAAAACUAACAUUGAUGUCUCUAGUUUUCCAAAACAAUAUCACAAUCACCUGAAUAUGUUCAUCACACAGGGUUCUGUAAAUCCUUCAGGAAAAACCUGUAUCUGUAAGUACAAGGUGGGUUCUAUUCUUGUAAGAGACACUAAGAGAUAAUGCAAUAUAAGGACUUUCUCUACCUCAAAGCCCCCUUCUGAAACACAUUAUCAAAUACUAUCUCCGUCCCCUCUUUCUCUUAUGGUGAUUUGAAUACUUCUUCAAAAAGGCACUGUAGCUUCAAGUAUAUCUUGGAUGGAAAUAUAUCACAGAGGAAUUUCGAACUAGAAAUAGGUUUCUGACAGAUGUUCCCUUGUGGCUGAACAUCACAAAAAAUAUCAACCUUUGAGAUUCAAACAAUAAAACAACUCCAGCACUGAUACACAGCUGUGCUUGUUGGGUGGCAAAACAAAGUCUCAACAAAAUGGCUAACCUGAGCUUGCAUGAAAAACUAAUAUUCUACAAUUCACAUAUACUUUAUACAGGUCAUCUGAAUCAUCACUUUCACAGGGAUCAGAAAAAGGAAUGUACUACAAAAGACGGGAAAAUCAUUACCAUACAGUUUCACCUAACUGAUUUGAGUUUAAAUAUACAAUAUAAUUUAUUGCAAUAUACCUGAAUAUACCCUCUGUUGGUGCCAUUAAUAUGAAAUUGUCUCUAUCUGGAUAUUUUGCUAGUAUGGAACUGAAUAUGGCAUUAUUAUUGCACCAAAUACAACCAAUGGUGUGUAUAAAUUAUACUUCAAGCAAUAGCUAGUUCACUUUACAGUACUUGUGUACACUGGGAAAA